rnacentral:rRNA from 1 species
CAUGCAGUAGAACGCUGAAGACUUUAGCUUGCUAGAGUUGGAAGAGUUGCGAACGGGUGAGUAACGCGUAGGUAACCUGCCUAUUAGUGGGGGAUAACUAUUGGAAACGAUAGCUAAUACCGCAUAAUAGUGUUUAACACAUGUUAGAGACUUAAAAGAUGCAAUUGCAUCACUAGUAGAUGGACCUGCGUUGUAUUAGCUAGUUGGUGGGGUAACGGCCUACCAAGGCGACGAUACAUAGCCGACCUGAGAGGGUGAUCGGCCACACUGGGACUGAGACACGGCCCAGACUCCUACGGGAGGCAGCAGUAGGGAAUCUUCGGCAAUGGGGGCAACCCUGACCGAGCAACGCCGCGUGAGUGAAGAAGGUUUUCGGAUCGUAAAGCUCUGUUGUAAGAGAAGAACGUGUGUGAGAGUGGAAAGUUCACACAGUGACGGUAACUUACCAGAAAGGGACGGCUAACUACGUGCCAGCAGCCGCGGUAAUACGUAGGUCCCGAGCGUUGUCCGGAUUUAUUGGGCGUAAAGCGAGCGCAGGCGGUUUAAUAAGUCUGAAGUUAAAGGCAGUGGCUUAACCAUUGUUCGCUUUGGAAACUGUUAAACUUGAGUGCAGAAGGGGAGAGUGGAAUUCCAUGUGUAGCGGUGAAAUGCGUAGAUAUAUGGAGGAACACCGGUGGCGAAAGCGGCUCUCUGGUCUGUAACUGACGCUGAGGCUCGAAAGCGUGGGGAGCAAACAGGAUUAGAUACCCUGGUAGUCCACGCCGUAAACGAUGAGUGCUAGGUGUUAGGCCCUUUUCCGGGGCUUAGUGCCGCAGCUAACGCAUUAAGCACUCCGCCUGGGGAGUACGACCGCAGGU